AGAUUGAACGCUGGCGGCAUGCCUAACACAUGCAAGUCGAACGGGAGUAGCAAUACUCUAGUGGCGGACGGGUGAGGAAUACGUAGGAAUUUGCCCUUAAGUGGGGGAUAACCCGGGGAAACCCGGAUUAAUACCGCAUGACCUCGAAAGAGCAAAGUGGGGGAUCGCAAGACCUCACGCUUUUGGAGAAGCCUACGUCGGAUUAGCUAGUUGGUGAGGCAAUGGCUCACCAAGGCGACGAUCCGUAACUGGUCUGAGAGGAUGAUCAGUCACACCGGAACUGAGACACGGUCCGGACUCCUACGGGAGGCAGCAGUGGGGAAUUUGGACAAUGGGCGCAAGCCUGAUCCAGCCAUGCCGCGUGGUGGGAAGAAGGCCUUCGGGGUUGUAAACCUA
rnacentral:rRNA from 1 species